GAUGAACGCUGGCGGCGUGCCUAAUACAUGCAAGUCGAGCGAACAGACGAGGAGCUUGCUCCUUUGACGUUAGCGGCGGACGGGUGAGUAACACGUAGGUAACCUACCUAUAAGACUGGGAUAACUUCGGGAAACCGGAGCUAAUACCGGAUGAUAUUUCGAACCGCAUGGUUCGAUAGUGAAAGAUGGCUUUGCUAUCACUUAUAGAUGGACCUGCGCCGUAUUAGCUAGUUGGUAAGGUAACGGCUUACCAAGGCAACGAUACGUAGCCGACCUGAGAGGGUGAUCGGCCACACUGGAACUGAGACACGGUCCAGACUCCUACGGGAGGCAGCAGUAGGGAAUCUUCCGCAAAGGGCGAAAGCCUGACGGAGCAACGCCGCGUGAGUGAUGAAGGUCUUCGGAUCGUAAAACUCUGUUAUUAGGGAAGAACAGACGUGUAAGUAACUGUGCACGUCUUGACGGUACCUAAUCAGAAAGCCACGGCUAACUACGUG
rnacentral:rRNA from 1 species